AGGAAGUGAAAUAAGGGCGUACGGGGGAUGCCUAGGCUCUCAGAGACGAUGAAGGACGUGGUAAGCUGCGAAAAGUCAUGGGUAGGUGCAAACGACCGUUUGAUCCAUGAAUGUCCGAAUGGGGCAACCCACUAUGUUGAAGACAUAGUAUCCUGCAAAGGAAGGUAACCCGGGGAACUGAAACAUCUAAGUACCCGGAGGAGGAGAAAAUAAUUUAAUGAUUCCGCAAGUAGUGGCGAGCGAACGCGGAACAGCCCAAACCAUUACGAUACGUCGUAGUGGGGUUGUAGGACUCGAAUAAUCAUGUAUCACUCAAUUGGAACAUUCUGGAAAGGAUGACCACAGAGGGUGACAGUCCCGUACAGGUACGGUGGUGCAUGAGUUGAGUAUCCUGAGUAGGGCGGGGCCGGAGAAACCCUGUCUGAAUUUGCGGGCACCAUCCCGUAAGGCUAAAUACUCCUGAGAGACCGAUAGUGAACCAGUACCGUAAGGGAAAGGUGAAAAGAACCGCGAGAAGCGGAGUGAAAAGACCCUGAAACCGUGCGCCUACAAGCGGUCGGAGCCUGUUAAAGGGUGACGGCGUGCCUUUUGCAUAAUGAGCCUACGAGUUACUCCUCACUAGCGAGUUUAAGGUCUAGAGGACCGGAGGCGGAGCGAAAGCGAGUCUUAACAGGGCGAGAGCUAGUGGGGGUAGACGCGAAA
rnacentral:ncRNA from 1 species